CCCUCCCCGUGGUCUGCAUUCCGUAGUGAUGACUAUGGUUAUACUAGGAUGAAGAUAUUCAACAGUACACAUCUCUAUCUGGAGCAGGUCUCUGAUGAUAAGAACGGUACAGUAAUUGACAAGAUUAUGAUCAUCAAAGACAAACAUGGACCAUACCAUAUCAAGUAAAGACAUAGAGACACUAUGAGAAGAGUGAAUCAAAAAGAAGGGGAAAAUAAUUAUAAAAUAAUAAAAAAAAAAUAAAACAAAAAAAUCAAAACUGUUAAUACAAAGUGCAAUCAUUUGAUAAUUUUAUAUUUUUUCUAUUAAUGAAUGAAAGAAUGUGUGUGUGCCUCAAGGAAUUUAUAAAACAUUUUUUAGCUCAUCUGUCACAAAGUGACAGGGUGAGCUUUUGUGAUCGCUUUUCGUCCGGCGUCCGUCCGUCGUCCGGCCGUCCGUCCGUCCGUAAACUUUUACUUUAAAUGACAUCUCCUCAUGAACCACUAAGCCAAUUUCAUCCAAACUUCACAGGAAUUUUCCUUUGGUGGUCACCUUUAAAAAUUGUUCAAAGAAUUUAAUUCCAUGCAGAACUCUGGUUGCCAUGGCAACCAAAAGAAAAAACUUUAAAUAUCUUCUUUAAAGAAACCGAAAGAGCUAGAGCUUAGAUAUUUGGCAUGAAACAUCUUCUAGUGAGUGUCUACCAAGAUUGCUCAAAUAAAAGCCCUGGGGUCAAAAUUGGCCCCGCCCCAGGGUGUCAUUGAUUUUCCCUAUAUGUAUAUAGUAAAAACUUAAAAAAUCUUCUUUUAAAGAGCUCAAAGAGCUAGAGCUAAGAUAUUUAGCAUGAAACAUGUUCUAAUGGGUGUCUACCAAGUUUGUUCAAAUAAAAGCCCUGGGGUCAAAAUUGGCCCCGCCCCAGGGGGUCAUUGAUUUUCCCUAUAUGCAUAUAGUAAAAACUUAAAAAAUCUCCUUUUAAAGAACCCGAAGAGCUAGAGCUUAGAUAUUUGGCAUGAAACAUCUUCUAGUGAGUGUCUACCAAGAUUGUUCAAAUAAAAGCCCUGGGUCAAAAUUGGCCCCGCCCCAGGGUGUCAUUGAUUUUCCCUAUAUGCAUAUAGUAAAAACUUAAAAAAUCUUUUUUUAAAGAACUCAAAGAGCUAGAGCUAAGAUAUUUAGCAUGAAACAUCUUCUAAUGAGUGUCUACCAAGUUUGUUCAAAUAAAAGCCCUGGGGUCAAAAUUGGCCUCGCCCCAGGGGGUCAUUGAUUUUCCCUGUAUGCAUAUAGUAAAAAUUUAAAAAUCUUCUUUUAAAGAACUCAUGGAGCUAGAGCUAAGAUAUUUAGCAUGAAACAUGUUCUAAUGGUUGUCUACCAAGUUUGUUCAAAUAAAAGCCCUGGGGUCAAAAUUGCCCCGCCCCAGGGGGUCAUUGAUUUUCCCUAUAUGUAUAUAGUAAAAACUUAAAAAAUCUUCUUUUAAAAGAACCAAAAGAGCUAGAGCUAAGAUAUUUAGCAUGAAACAUGUUCUAAUGGGUGUCUACCAAGUUUGUUCAAAUAAAAGCCCUGGGGUCAAAAUUGGCUCCGCCCGGGGGGGGGGGGUCAUUGAUUUUCCCUAUAUGUAUAUAGUAAAAACUUAAAAAAUCUUCUUUUAAAGAACUCAAAGAGCUAGAGCUAAGAUGUUUAGCAUGAAACAUGUUCUAAUGAGUUUCUACCAGGUUUGUUCAAAUAAAAGCCUUGGGGUCAAAAUUGGCCCCGCCCCAGGGGGUCAUUGAUUUUCCCUAUAUGUACAUGUUUAUAGUAAAAACUUAAAAAAUCUUCUUUUAAAGAACUCAAAGAGCUAGAGCUAAGAUAUUUAGCAUGAAACAUCUUCUAGUGAGUGUCUACCAAGAUUGUUCAAAUAAAAGCCCUGGGGUCAAAAUUGGCCCCGCCCCAGGGGGUCAUUGAUUUUCCCUAUAUGUAUAUAGUAAAAACUUAAAAAAUCUUCUUUUAAAGAGCUCAAAGAGCUAGAGCUAAGAUAUUUAGCAUGAAACAUGUUCUAAUGGGUGUUUACCAAGUUUGUUCAAAUAAAAGCCCUGGGGUCAAAAUUGGCCCCGCCCCAGGGGGUCAUUGAUUUUCCCUAUAUGCAUAUAGUAAAAACUUAAAAAAUCUCCUUUUAAAGAACCCGAAGAGCUAGAGCUUAGAUAUUUGGCAUGAAACAUCUUCUAGUGAGUGUCUACCAAGAUUGUUCAAAUAAAAGCCCUGGGGUCAAAAUUGGCCCCGCCCCAGGGUGUCAUUGAUUUUCCCUAUAUGCAUAUAGUAAAAACUUAAAAAAUCUUUUUUUAAAGAACCCAAAGAGCUACAGCUAAGAUAUUUAGCAUGAAACAUCUUCUAAUGAGUGUCUACCAAGUUUGUUCAAAUAAAAGCCCUGGGGUCAAAAUUGGCCUCGCCCCAGGGGGUCUUUGAUUUUCCCUGUAUGCAUAUAGUAAAAAUUUAAAAAUCUUCUUUUAAAGAACUCAUGGAGCUAGAGCUAAGAUAUUUAGCAUGAAGCAUGUUCUAAUGGUUGUCUACCAAGUUUGUUCAAAUAAAAGCCCUGGGGUCAAAAUUGGCCCCGCCCCAGGGGGUCAUUGAUUUUCCCUAUAUGUAUAUAGUAAAAAUUUAAAAAAUCUUCUUUUAAAGAACCAAAAGUGCUAGAGCUAAGAUAUUAUGCAUGAAACAUGUUCUAAUGGGUGUCUACCAAGUUUGUUCAAAUAAAAGCCCUGGGGUCAAAAUUGGCUCCGCCCCAGGGGGUCAUUGAUUUUCCCUAUAUGUAUAUAGUAAAAACUUAAAAAAUCUUCUUUUAAAGAACUCAAAGAGCUAGAGCUAAGAUAUUUAGCAUGAAACAUGUUCUAAUGGGUGUCUACCAAGUUUGUUCAAAUAAAAGCCUUGGGGUCAAAAUUGGCCCCGCCCCAGGGGGUCAUUGAUUUUCCCUAUAUGUAUAUAGUAAAAACUUAAAAAAAUUUUCUUUUAAAGAACUCAAAGAGCUAGAGCUAAGAUAUUUAGCAUGAAACAUGUUCUAAUGGGUUUCUACCAGGUUUGUUCAAAUAAAAGCCUUGGGGUCAAAAUUGGCCCCGCCCCAGGGGGUCAUUGAUUUUCCCUAUAUGUACAUGUUUAUAGUAAAAACUUAAAAAAUCUUCUUUUAAAGAACUCAAAGAGCUAGAGCUAAGAUAUUUAGCAUGAAACAUGUUCUAAUGGGUGUCUACCAAGUUUGUUCAAAUAAGAGUCCUGGGGUCAAAAUUGGCCCUGCCCCGGGGGUCAUUGAUUUUCCUUAUAUAUGUGUAUAUCAAAAACUUAAAAAGUAUUCUUUGAAAAAACCUAAAUAGCUAGAGUUAAGAUAUUAAGCAUGAAACAUCUUCUAGUGAGUGUCUACAAAGUUUGUUCAAAUAAAAGCCCUGGGGUCAAAGUUAGCCCUGCCCUGGGGGUCAUUGAUUUUCCUUAUAUGUGUAUAGGAAAAACUUAAAAAACAUCUUUGAAAAAACCCAAAUAGCUAGAGUUUAGAUAUUAAGCAUGAAACAUGUUCUAGUAAGUGUCUACAAAGUUUGUUCAAAUAAAAGCCCUGGGGUCAAAACUUGCCCCGCCCAAGGGGUGUCAUUGUUUUUAACUAUAUGUGUAUAGUAAAAACUUAAAAAAUCUUCUUUAAAAAAACACAAUGAGCUAGAGCUUAGAUGUUUAGCAUGAAACAUCUUCUUAUGGGUGUCUACCAAGUUUGUUCAAAUAAAAGCCCUUGGUUAAAAUUGGCCCUGCCGGGGGUAGGGGAGGGCAGAUCAUUGUUUUUCAUUAUAGGUGUGUACAUCAUGAAACGUCUUCUUAUAGGUGUCUUCCAAGUUUGUUCAAAUAAAAGCCCUGGGGUUUAAACUGGCCCCGCUCCGGGGGCCUACAUACAGGUGAGCGACCUUAGGGCCAUCAUGGCCCUCUUGUUGUUCUAGUUUUCUUUCAAAAUUGCCAUAUUCAUUUUAAUAUGUAGCCAAUAUCAGAAUCACAAAAUGAUAAUUUUCUGAAGAACUCCAAAAUAUCAACAAAAUUAAUGUAUUCAGAAUGUUUCUCUUCAAAAAGACAGAACAAUUUACUUAUUUUUGAAAAGAAAAAAACUUAUAUUGGUGUGAAAGAAAAACCUGUUUUUGAAUGACCAAGAAUUACUUGUAUGACAAGUUGUUCUGAGAACUUUAGUUUUAAUUAAAAGAAAGCUUUAAUUUUUUCAAGUGAUUUUUUUUUGUAACUUUUGUUUAUUUUUUCUCCUUUUUUUUUACCAAUAUGGAAUGUCACAUUUUUCAACAAGUCCAGGGAGAGCAAGGUAACAAUACUGGGAUUUGUACCUUAAUUACUUUAAGAUUAUUGCAUAUAUGUGCAAAAGUGAAAGGGACCAACAAUAUGUUUUGUUGUAUGAAUUUUACUAGAAUAAAAUGUUUGUUUAAGAUGGUGCUCAUUUUUAUAUUGCUUGAAAUCAUGGUUUCCUGAUUGCUGAAAAUAAUCAUUAUUAUAUUAAAAUAAAAUAUUAUGUUUAAUAUGAUCUCAUGCAGAUAACAAAUAAUAUUUUAUAAUUUGAUACUUGUAUGUAAUAUUUGUUAUGAGUGGUAAAAGUGUACAUUUACUGUCAAGUUACUGUAUGUAGUGUGAUGAGUGAGUUGCUUUGAGAAAAUUAUUCUGACUGUUCAUAUUACUGUCAUGUUUAGGUGUAAAAACUUUCAAAACUUUGUAUACACAAUUGCUUAAAGGUAUAAAUUUUCACAAAAUUGUGUAAACAUAAGGAGAUUUUAGUAAUUUCCUUGUAGCUAAACAUUGUCAAAUGUUGGAUUCAAGUGGUUACCUAUUCUAGUUUUCCAAAUUUUAUCUUUUUUUAAAAAUUUCAAUUUGUAAGUUUGUUAUUUGUUAAAUAUUUAGAGAUAUUUUUUUUUGAAAGUUUUUUUUUGUUAAUGAAUAUUUAUUGCUGA